UACAGAGGUCCCAAGCGUUGUUCGGAUUCACUGGGCGUAAAGGGUGCGUAGGCGGUCGGGUAAGUCUGAUGUGAAAUCUCACAGCUUAACUGUGAAACUGCAUUGGAUACUAUCCGGCUCGAGGAAUGGAGGGGAGACUGGAAUACUUGGUGUAGCAGUGAAAUGCGUAGAUAUCAAGUGGAACACCAGUGGCGAAGGCGAGUCUCUGGGCAGUAACUGACGCUGAGGAGCGAAAGCGUGGGGAGCGAACAGG
rnacentral:rRNA from 1 species